rnacentral:rRNA from 1 species
UAUGUGAUCGUCUCUCGCAUAUCAAUAAGCGGAGGAAAAGAAACUAACAAGGAUUCCCCUAGUAACGGCGAGUGAAGCGGGAAGAGCUCAAAUUUGAAAUCUUAAAGGGUUUCCCUUUACGAAUUGUAGUUUAAAGAAGUGUUUUCUGUUGAGGUUUUGGUAAAAGUUCUUUGGAAUAGGACAUCAUAGAGGGUGAGAAUCCCGUAUUUGACCUUUACUUUCAACUUUGUGAUACACUUUCAAAGAGUCGGAUUGUUUGGGAAUGCAGUCCCCAGAAAUGGGUGGUAAAUUUCAUCUAAAGCUAAAUAUUGGCGAGAGACCGAUAGCGAACAAGUAUCCGUGAGGGAAAGAUGAAAAGAACUUUGAAAAGAGAGUUAAACAGUACGUGAAAUUGUCAAAAGGGAAGCGUUUGACACCAGUGUUGUUUUUCUGAAAAUCAAUUAAAGAACUGUUUAUGCUAAGUUGUUUAGACUUUAUCAGCUAUCUGUUUAGUUUUGAGCUUUUCUUUAAUGCACUUUUCAGUUAACAAGUCAACAUCAAUUUCUUUUGCUGUAAAAAAGCUUGAGGAAGGUGGCUUGAGAUUCGUCUUAAGUGUUUAUAGCCUCUUGCCUAUGCAGUCGGAGAGAUUGAGGUCUGCAGCGUAGAUCCUUCGGGGCUAAAUGCAUUUGUGCUAAGUUAUAGCAUUUUAUAGACAACUUGUUGACUAUGAUUUGUCUUGUAGCUUACUCGCUUAUGUUAUUUUACCUACGCUUAGGAUGUUGAUCUACAGAGCGAGAGU